rnacentral:lncRNA from 1 species
AUGAAGUUUCUUAACCCUACUGACCUCAUUGUUUUCAUCUGUGCAGGCCAACUGCUGGGACCUCGGCAGGGAGCCCAGGCCCUUCCAGGAGAAGUGCAGGAGAGGUGGGGGGACGCCAGUCAUCUUCUUUCUCCCCUGAAGAGAGAAACAGGAGGGGUUCUGAUGCUGGAAGACUCAGAACACAUCACAGGACCUGCACUGUGUUAUCUUCUGACGGACGUUCCGGAUGCCAGAGACCAGGAGACAUUCACGGGCUUGUGGUAGAGGGAAGUUUUCAGCCUCCUCCGGGGGCCUUGCCUUUGACAGAUUUGACAAAACCCUAAAAAUGCC